UAUCACUCCGUCUGUUGACUGUUGACCACUGAAGAACAGUGAAAUCAAAUAUGGUGGGAAAAGCUGUAGCCGUUCUCUUCCUUGUGUGCUGUCUUGCAUUGGCCUCCGAGGCUCUUAUUCUUCCACAUUGCCCACAUGGACAAACACAAGUCGGUUACUGCGGUCCCCAUACAUGGUGGCGGUGCUCUGUCGGAAAUUGUUAUCCUGUAAACAGCGGUUUUGGUGUCUGCUGUAAAUGGUUCUCCCAUGGCGGUUACUACUAGUAGUCGUCCGAACAGAGUGGUUAUUGUAUUAAAGAUUCAGAAAUAAAGAUUUUGAAAUAUACAAAA